AAAUUUCAUGGUUGCUUGUGCAAACACAAGACUUUGAACAAACGUUUUGCUGAAUCAAGAUUGCCUAUAAAUACAACCCGACUUGCAUUGCGUUCUAUCAUCCAUUAAACACACAUCAGCGUGUUCAAAGUGCUUACAUCUGUGAAAAUCUGCAGGUAUCUCUGAAGAAGAUGAGCUCAUCAGAUGAUAGCAAGGGGUGCGCCGAUGCUACUCCCAAGACAGAGUGGCCUGAGCUAAAGGGAUGCACGAUCAAAGCGGCGACCGAGAAGAUCAAGGCGGAGCGGCCGGAGCUGAAUGUUGAGGCUGUCCCGGUUGGCACCUUCGUCCCCCAAGAUUUUGACCCAAAUCGCGUUCGUCUCUGGGUUGACAUCGUGGCCGAGGUUCCCAGAAUUGGCUAAAGAAUAUAAACGCCAAGCCUCCAAAUAAUUGGACAUGGAUGUGUUCGCAUGGACCAUUCAUACAGGUCAAGUAAAUAAAAGCAUGUCCCGGAUGAAGUCUUGUACUCCCUCCGUUUCAAAUUCUAUGUCUUUUUGACUUUAUGCACUUAGAUAUAGUGUAUGUUUAGAUGCAUAGUAAAAACUAUGCAUUUAGAAAAGUCAAAAUGACCUACGAUUUAGAAUGGAGUGAGUCUUUAUAUUGUACACCAUAUAUGAAUUGGUCUGUCGUCGGUUGUAACUAAGAUUUGAAUUAUCAAUAAUGAGCUGUCAAAUGAAAUUAUGAGUUGAUA